CUGGUAGCUCAGUUGGUAAAGAAUCUGCCUGCAAUGCAGAAGACCCCAGUUUGAUUUCUGGGUCAG
rnacentral:tRNA from 1 species